UGCCUCACCAGCCAAGCUCGCCUCACAGAGAUUACACUGCAAGGCAAAAUUAUUCACCAGCAUGGAAAUGACUGAAGAACGAGCAAAUAGUCCCAUAGCUUGGAUCAUCCACAUUUCUUCCGACUAAAACCCUGAAAACACCAUGUCCAAGACUCUGGGAACACUCUGUAUUUGACUCGCGCCAAGUGGAACGUAUUACUAGAUUACACAUAUGAUCUUCGUUAUCUGGGAUAUUUAGCCUUUGGCACAGGACCCCUAGAAGAUGACAUGCCAGAAUCACUUACUGUGCACUGGAAGAAGGAAGAACAGCCUCUCUCUGAAUGGCAUAACAUUACUUCUAUGUAAACAAGGGUACAAGUCAAAUGAGGCAUGGAUUACAGCAAGCUUUCCCUUCUGUGCACCACCAUGCCAUACAGCCAUCCCAGAAUUCUUCUGCAGGCCAAGUAUCACGUGACUCCUUCUGUAUGAUUGACAAGGCAGGGCAAGAUUUGUAAUGAAAGCUGAAUGUUCAUUAAACCCAAUGAUACAGCUGGAGAAAAAGAUGACAAGCUGUUAAGCACGCAAGACUUUCAGACUUGCUUCUCUUUCAGGACUGGACAAGAGGACAAUGUCACAAACAAGCAUGGGUUUUUCCAGCUAGAUCCUCUUGUCUUGCUCACAUCCUUGUGUCAUCACAGCUACGAUAACACUACCAUCAAAAACCUUAGUCAUCUAAAUGCUAAAUAGCCAUCUCCAGAUGUCACAAUGGUUUCUUUGAAUAAAUAGCAUUAAUAAACUUUAAAAUGCCCCAGAGUAAGUCUGUCCAAAGUGCCACUACAUUUUAUGAAAGUGCCCUGUAUAUAAACCAGGGACACCUGACAUAUAAAGUGGUAUAAAAAUACAAACUGACUCGGCUUCUAAGUAUUUCCUGCCCUUUUAAACUUUGCACUUGUUCAUUAAUUUCAACAAAUAUUGAGGUGAGCCAGCUGCUGAGGUGAGAGUAUUCAAAUAAAUCCCUCACAGAUGUUUGUUAACUUCAGAUAGGAGCUUUAUUAUCUACAAAUCAUUAAUCAACCAUUAACAAGUAAGUAUUAUGGAGUUGCAGUAUUAAGGUUCACUGCCAGAGAAGAAUGAUAGAAUUUGCAGACUGGCUGUGUCUAUAAGAACUAAGAGCAGAGAGGGUCUGAGGUAAAACAUUUGGAGGAGAUUAGAAAACAUGAGAAGUCAUUUUGUUACUCUUCAGCUCUCCUUCAGAGAAAGCACUUCACCAGUGUUAAGCGUUUACACAACAAACCGAGUGGAAAGAUCAAACUUAUCCAUCAGUUUGGUGAUGAAGAGGAAUGUGCUUUGCACAGCCAAACAAGGAAGUCAGGCACAGGUGAGAAUUGCUGCUCCUGUGAACAAUAAUAAACACCAUCCAAAGUGUCACACUCUAAACUGAAAUACUCUGAAGCUACAAAAUCGCCUGCUCUGACUUCAGAGUCCUCAGACUUCACCCAAUACCUCUCACAAAGGCCACAGACUUCAGCUGAAAACAGAAAGCAGCUAAAUUGUUGCAUGCCACAGGCAGAGGACAGACAUGACUGAGGCAUUGUUGUGUAGGAUAAGCAUUGCUUACUGCAGAACAAGGAAAUGCAUUCCCCUCUUUGGUCUCUCCGCCACACAGUUUCUGCCAACUGGCCUUACGAAAGAAUCCUUCACACACUAGAUUUGGAAAUAAUUCUGAUCUGGGCUAUACAAGCAAGACACUUAAGAAAGCAUAAAAUUCUUAGGUGAAAAUGUAGUGUGUAUUACACUCGGUGUCUCUCCAACUAUUUCUGAUUUCUGAUACUUAUGGAGGAGGUAAUAAAGUAAAUUUAAAAAAUAGAAUUGAAGAAAAAUAUUGUCUGAAUACCAGCAGGUAAAUGAAAUUUGACUUUCCUGUUUUGCAACUCUGAUUUUUUCACAGAAUACUUUCACAGGUUUCUGAAAUACUGUGGAAAUCUGCAUGAUGUUAAACCAGGUAUUAAUUAGAUCAAAGACAAAACACUUUCCAAAGCUCACGUACUGAUUACUUAACGCACCACAGAGUAGGAAAAAAUAUUCCUUACAAAGCCAUACUUUUAUUUCCCUCAAUAACAUUUCUCCAUAAAGAGCAAUACACAGCUGGAAGCAUUAACAGCCGACCAGA